CAAUUUGGCUAACAGGGCUGGGGAGGUGGAGGUUACAGGACAUGCUCCUUCAGAUUGGACUGGAAGAAGCUAGGGUUUGGUUUUCUGGGGAGGAACUAUGAUCUGAAAACAUCAACUCUGCCAGCCCUCUCACAAACAGGCCUUGGAUAGACAGGGGAAAGCUUGUUUUCCUUUAGGAACUGUCAAGAUGUAAUCCCUUCAUUUCACAUUGUUGGAGAGCAAAACCAGGUGUUAUUCAAAUGUUCAUUGGCAGGAAGCCACUGUAAAUCCCUGCCACAUUAAGAAAUAAUGGUGAGCUUUAGCCGUGCUUCAAGCUCUUUUCCUUGACUCCAUCCAAAAUGAAAACCCUGUCAGAAGGCCGUGUGGGUUUUCUGAGAAUGCCUCCGUCGUUCUGCAUUCAGAGCGGAGUUGUGAGCUGGGGCUGUCGGGUGGGGGGCACCUCCAUGGGCAGUGCUACACAGAGCGCGGGGCAGCAGUGCAGGUCCUCAUGUCAUCAGGUGAAUGAUUUUCUCCUCCUGAGGCACUCAAGUGUUUUCUGUCAGAGCUGGCUGUCCUCUCAUGUUUGUUUCUUGUGCUAGAAAAAGCCCAGCACUGCUCACUGCUCCUGCCUGAACCUGUCGACUCCUUCAGCACUCUCUAACAGAAGACCCUGGUACACCUCCAGCACAGCCAGAAGCCACGCUCUCUGAGUGCUUUCAGCCUUGCUUUGUGGUUGGAGGCUUUCCAGGAGCACAUCUCCUGCCUAACUCAAGGGAAGUGGUCCCAUCACUCAGCGAAGAAAAGACCUGGGGAUUUUUUGACUUCGGCACUGAACUUGUCUUUGUUACACGUAAGAAACUCCUGUACAUCAUUUAUGAGAUUCCUAACCCGGAUAGGUUAUUACUGUGGCUGUUAGCCCUUCCAGUUUUUGUUCUUUAUUUCAAUGGUGAUGUCACAGUGGUGGGCAUCCCACAUGCUGGCCAGUGCUCUUGAGUAACACUCAAUGCAGGGGAAGCUGCUGCUCAAUCAGAAGUUGUUCUGCACCCACUGCAGGCUGAGCUUAGGACAAACGUACCUUGGUGCCAUGAUUUAUUUCCUGCACUGGAUUUAUCUUUGUAAUGACUGUCAGUUAAUGCUUGGUGAAGGGAUAAGUAUCUCUCUCUCUCUGUUGGUAGCACAUCCGUGUUUUAAAUCAUGUGGGAAUGACAGAUGGUGAUAAAAUAUUAGAAGCUUGCAGAGCUUCCUCCUUAAAUUGCCUGCUCGCAGCAUGUUUUGUUGUGGGGCCAGCCAUGCUUAAACCCUUUCUUAAAUUUUUUUUUGCACAGCCACAGAGUCUGCAGACAUGCACUAACCAUCUCUGAGGCAUUUCUGGUCUUAGUAGGGAUCCACUUGUUUCCUUUUGGCUUUCCCACUGAUUCAUCAGCUUCCCAAAAUAGAAAGCACUAUCUUUGUUUUGUUGUGAUGAGUUACAAAAGAAUUAAUAACAUCAGCUUAGCACCAAGAAAUACAAAUCAGGUCAUUCUAAAAUGUCCUUGGAUUUCAUUCGCAAAACUCCAUCCAAUUGUGCAUUACCAUUACCUUAGAAAGAGCUCCUGCUCUUUGCAGUACAAAGCAUUUGAUCCCACACUGUAAUUCUUUUCAGCCGUGGGUGUUUCUUGCAAGUUCUGAGCCCAGAGUUUCUCCACAUUACUCAGAAUGGCCUCAGGAGAUAAAAAAUGUGCCAAAUACCUCCGAAAGAAGAUCAAAUAUCUUUUGGGCUCUGUGCACCCCUUGCUUGCUUAGGACACACAUGGUGAAUGCCAGCACUCUGUGCCAGCAGAGCUCUGCUGAAUGAAUCCAUGCUGCGGGAGGCCUUGCUGCACUAGACAGCAUCUCACAGGAGCGAGAUCGCAGUUUAAAACUGGUUAUGCACAACAACAAACCAGCGAGAUCUGAGUGUCUGCAGGAUUGAGUGCAAUGAAGCCUCUUGGCAAGAGACAGACGCCACGUGCCCUUCCUGGCUGGAAAAGCCAGUUUUCACAGAGAGUGUCUGGCAGAAGCAGAGCCUGGGAGUGUCUUCCAGGGAUUUUGGAAAAACAUCACGACUGUGGUUGUGACAGAAUGAGGAAUGUGUUGUAAGAAAACACAGCUCAUGAGAAGAGCUAAAUAAAAUACAUUUAAA